rnacentral:rRNA from 1 species
CACACCGCCCGUCACACCAUGGGAGUUGGCUUUACCUGAAGACGGUGCGCUAACCGCAAGGGGGGCAGCGGCCCAAGGUAUGAUCCAUGAUUGGGGUG